UUGCUUACUGCUGUGCGUCGAUCUAUAAAUAUUUAACGGCAGGCAUAUUUUAAAGAUAUCUGUUUUAUUGUGUUCGCUAAUUAGCAAUGAUUUUUUUAUGUUUUAAAAUUUAAUUUUUAAUUUUUUAGGGCUUGCACAUAUGUGUGUGUGUAUGUUUGUGUGCAGACUGGCGUGUAGUUUCUGCGUUCGUUAUUUACAUACAUGCAUUUAUUUUUAGCGAUUCCUUGGAAACUUGUUGCUUGUGUGCACCGGCGAGUGUGUGCUUACUUUGUUGUUGUUGUGUUUUAUUUAUAUAUAAUAUUUUAUUUUAAUUCUUUUGUAGCUUAGGAAUGUUUGAUUAACAGGAACGCAGACAGAUACAUUACUUAUCUAAUUUAAUGUUUUUUUGACGUAAAUGUCAUUUUUUUUGCGUUAAUUUCUUAAGAAUUUUUGCUGGUCAUGCGUUGACUAGUACUCUUUUAUUCUUAUAUGAGUAGUUUCGAUAUAAUUAAAAUUCAGAUUUCGCGUGUUCUUUUAUUAAAAAAGCGAAGCGUUUAUUAACACUUGUUGUGCUAAUUGUUUACGCCUCCGUCUGCCAGAAAAUUAAUCUCCGACUAUUUUCACUUUUCGCUUUUUAUUUUUGCGAGUAGACUCCUCAGCUGGAUGUGCUGGCGCUGUCCCUAUUAUUUUAUUGUUAUUGCGCUUAAAUCACAACAAUUCAUUCAAUUUCCAUUCAAUCAUCUGGUCUGCCUUCACCGCUUUGUGUCCAUGCAACGAUUACUGUUGAUAUUUUAAUUAUUUUAUACUUAUUUAUUUUUGUUGCUAUUAUUGCCGUUGUCUGGCCGCAUCGCAAUUACGUAAAGAUAUUGUGCACACACGCGCACACACGCCUGUAAAUAAUAAUAACGCGAGAAACCAAAGGAAUUUCUGAUAUUUAUUUCAUGCCACUCAUAUUUAUCUAAUUUGUUGUUGUUUUGGUAGAUAAUUCUUCAACACAGACGUUGUUUGCGUCGUCUCGUCGACGUUAAGAGGCGAAAAACAAAACCGAAAUCGAACUCACAUGAGCCAAAAUCAGCGGAAUGAAAUACGAAAAUUCGGCAGAAAAAAUUUCAAAUUAUCGCACAAAACUACUCGGACGUCGGUGUCUAUUUUUUCGCAUGGCAACAGCAGCAGUUGUGUGUAAAUUCAAUUUACUGCUUGUUAGUAUAUAAAGUAUGAAUAUCGACAUCGGGCGAUAAUGAAUUCAACGUCUCGCCGCAAUAAAAUCGAAAAUGAACGCCACGUGCAAAUGCAAAUCAAAGUCGCACACACAUACACACACGUAUCGAACACAACAAUACCCAUCACAUAACAGUUAUAUGAGGUGGUUGGCAAAUUCAGAUGUCACAUAGCCCACACAAAGGUGGCAAAACGCGCCCAUUAUACAGCAACUACAACAAUAACAACGACAACAAAAACAAAUAAUGUCUGCGUUGCACAUCAAAAAGUGUCAGUGCAGAACGAAGAGGGUGCGUCGGCGAACCUACUUUUUCAGUAGCUGAGAGAUAAGACAGUUAAGGCAAGUGGUAGGCAGCAAGAAGAGCUUAAAAUGAGCUUUUGAUAUAAAUUUUUAUUUAAUAUGCUUUAUUAACUCUGUUGAAUACACAAC